rnacentral:rRNA from 1 species
UACAGAGGUGGCAAGCGUUGUUCGGAAUUACUGGGCGUAAAGGGCGCGUAGGCGGCCCGCUAAGUCCCGUGUGAAAUCCCUCGGCUCAACUGAGGAACUGCACGGGAAACUGACGGGCUUGAGUUCGGGAGAGGGAAGUGGAAUUCCGGGUGUAGCGGUGAAAUGCGUAGAUAUCCGGAGGAACACCGGUGGCGAAGGCGGCUUCCUGGACCGACACUGACGCUGAGGCGCGAAAGCUAGGGGAGCAAACGGG